UUCCAGAGCUUUAAUAGCAUCUUCAAUACCUCUAGCUGAACGUCCAUCUCCAUCUGUGGUCACAUACCGUACAAGAAAUUUCUGUAGUCCUAGCUGGUUCCCCAUCUCUUUUCCCAGCUCAUACUCUGACAGGGCAGCAGCUCUGUAUAAAUUUGAAGUACAUUCUUCAUGACCAGGACAUUCUAUUGGAAAGCCUUUCCCUCUAAGCCAAGCCCCUCUCCAGCACAUCUUGUUCUGCACAACUGCAGCUACAAUAAACUUU
rnacentral:lncRNA from 1 species